AUUUUGCAAGGAAAACAAUGAAGGGAAUGAAACAACAUCUUCUUCUCUUCGUCUUCUUUAUAAGUUGCAAUGGCCAAAAUGACAAUGACAUUGCACAAGAAAUUAAAGACAAAUGGGCGACAUAUGUGAAAGGGUUACUCGCAGGAGACACAGCACUAAUCGUACGCAGGAGUAAUGAAGGGCGCGAUAAUCAUCCUAUUUGCUGGUGGUCUCUGAAGACUGCAAGACCAAGAGGUUCAUUUCAGCAUAAUUUAACAUAUUAUAGAUUGGA